UUCUUUGGAAAUGACCCAAUUCGCCACAAU
rnacentral:piRNA from 1 species